UGAGGGAAGCCACCUCCGCCGGUUCGCCAAGGCCGACACCGCCUCGAUCAGUUGAGAUUGACGUUUCUGCAUCAGACUACAUCGCUAGGAACAGUCGGGACAAGGGCCAUGGCCGCGUCGGCCUCUGCUGGUCUUCGAGAGUACAAAUAUCCAAUUUAUGUACGCCCUUGUUUUCGUUUCGAUUUGUAUGAUCUGGUCAAUUUUCAGGUUGACUGAAACUAAGGCGCAAGCCCAAGCCAGCAGCGGGACAACCUGCAGCUUAGCAGAGGUUCGGAUCGGAAUAGGAGAGUUCCUAUUGCAUCCUGGAAAUCUGUCAAGUUUGGAUUGACCCCAGAUUGACCGGUUCAUAUGAUACUAAGAUUAGAGUUCUGCUGGUUCCUUUUCGUUUGUUUGAAUUACAGUCUCCAAUAUAUAAGGUGCUAUAGGCGGUCACGUUUUUAUGAAUCUUUUCAGUCGUCUGCUUUCAAAUCUUUUGCAUGAAGUUGACUUCGCAAUGUGCGUCAUACAAUUGUCCUAUUCAAAGAACUUGUCGAAUACCGCUAAAUCACAAUUAGUUUGUGAGUAUUGUAGAGAACAUGAUGCCUGUGCAGUUGUGCUCAGAACAUGGGAAAAGAAAACAUGAGAUUGAGACUUCUACUUGUUACUUAUUUUGCUCUGCUAUAGGGUGUCGAAGGCAUGUAACUUGUAUCAUUUUCCAAAACUUUCCCUUCAGAUUUGAUGUGUGGCCCUCGGUUCUGCUCACCAUGCAAUUCUUCAGCAGUUUCCUCACAGUGUUACAUAAUCCGGAAGAAGGUUGCAGGGCAGAAAAUACAGUUACAUGAAGUCGGCAUUUCACCAUAGAAGCGCAUUCAGUGAUAUAAUCCAGAUGAUAUUCACAUUUCACAGGUUAGUACCGAUUCUUGGGUUCACAAUGAAUCUUGUCAGCGGGAGCUGGAAUAAGACUUUGAGGUGAUCAGAUGUACACAAACUUGAAGUUACAUUGAUUCUUACGGAAAUUAGUUGUGACUCAAUGUGCUAUUGUCCUGUGUUACAUUGCAUGUGAUAGAUUGUGUCAUAAGGGCAUAUCAUUGAAAUAUUGAUUCAGCUGCAUUAUAUCUAAGCACCAUGAACUUUGUUUACCAAAUGAUGACAUGCAUACAAACACAAUGGACCUAAAACCUAUUUAUUAACAUGAUUACUAUAAAUAAAAUCCCUCUAACCUUCUGUUCAUUAAGAUAUUUGGGACCUCGAUAAGCUCAGCCAGCAUAUGUUCAGCAACUUUCUGAGCGCUGGUAUGUCCUCUCACUUAGUUAUCCUCUAAUGGCCGUUGGCACUGCUGACGACAAUGUAUUUAUAUUCAAUUUGAAGAAUCCACAGGUAAAUGAUGCCUCUUUUUAUAUUAUGAAGAUGUUUAUACGUUGGGAACAUGCGGUGGUGAUGGUAGGUAUGGUUGAUACGUCGUCCGCUCCAAGUACCGCAAGAAAAAUCUCAUCAUACAGCAGGACCGCCCAAAAAAAACCAGGAGAAAAACUGCCCACCUCCCACCCACGCAUGCCAAGAGCCCACGAUCCCCUCACAAGUUCUAUCCAUCACCAGUUCGCCACUGCCGCGUCGAGUGCUUCGAUGGCACCAAGACCAUGCCACCCUCCACUCCGGCGUGUACUCCAAGAAUGUUAUCCUUAACCUCACGGAGAGCAUCUCCGUCCGGCUCUACCUCCCCUCCAUCGCGUUGGAGCCAGGUAUGAUGCUCCUUGCUGUCUUCUUCUACGGUGGAGAUUUCCUGUCCACACCAUUGCUGUAUUCCUCUUCACAGCCUCCCUCGCUGUUGUGGUUCAUUCCGCCGUCGACUAUCAUCUCGCCCCGGUGCAGCACAACAAGGAGAUCUAAGGAGGUCCUUCUCAAGGAGCACAUCGCCUUCAGAUGGGGAGGACAAUACAGAUGGGCAUGGUGCAGCGGCCUUCGACUGAUGUCUCGCGCGCCUCCAUUGCCAGUGAUAAAGACAUGUGCAGUGUCUCCCCUGGUCUUGGGCACGGCUUGUUGUCCUCCUAACUCCCAACUCAUCAGUCCCCUCACCUCUCAAGUUCUCCCGGUCGACUCCUAGCUCACCGUUUUCUCUACUAUAUACUUAAAAAGAACGAACGUGUUCCCCCUUCUCCCCCAGUUUGGUCGUCCUCCCGUUCCCUAUGCUCCGCACGCGCCUACCUGGGCUGGGCCAACAUGGGCCGUCGCCCUAAUCCCGUCACACCUCCACCUUGCACACAUGUGCUUCCACUUUCCUCAAGCGUGGCCGCCGCCAUCCUCCCGUCGUACACAAAAUAGGAUGAGCGUCCCUUGGCCACUGCCGCUCCGCCGGAGACGGCACUCCCCAUGGCGGACGGCUCCUCGCAGGAAUCCAUGGCCACCACCAGCUUCCCCGCCAGCAGCCCCCACUCGGCCCGAGCCCUUGCAGCACUCGCGCUGGUGGUGCCCCCAAUUGAACUCCGCCGAAACCCUUGGUUCACCGUUGGGAUGUGUGCACGGGGGGAGGUAGUGGGGGAAGGCCGGGAUUCCCUGGGAGUUGAAUGUUGAGGUGUAUUGCUCCACGGACGCGCGAAUCCAGGUCGAGGAAGCGGGGCUGGCGGGUGUUGGUGGCCUCGGGGGAGGAGCGGACGAGGUGGACUUGCCGGUGUGAUGGUGGUGUCAAGGUGGGAGAAGAAGAGGGCGAUGAAUUUGAAGGAGGAUGCAGAGGAGGAGGAGGAGGACAACCUCUUCGAUCCAGCGAUCACCGUGAGUCUUGCUAUCGGCAUGACGGGCCAGAACUGCUUCCGCGAUGUGAUUCCACCACUACUGCGCCUUAUCCAGUGAAGCAAAUGGUGCAUCAGCUCAUUCAGAUUAUGGCAGCACAUGACACUCCUGGCAUACGGGAGAAGGAUAGUCAUCCCAGCUCUGGGAAGAUGUUCAUCAUGCUGAUGGGAAUGUCUACUAGACUGCUUUAAUUCUAUGCUGAAAUGCUCUUACCUUCUAAUGAAUUGAAAGAAACACAUGCAGGACAAUGGGAGAAAUCUCUAUAGAUCUGCGUCGAUGUUUGCGCUACAGUUGGAGCCAUAUUUUUUAUCCUAGAAAACACUAUUGUUACUAUGACUGAGCAACAGACCAAGCUAAAGUACAUCCAAGAGAUCAAUAGAUAAUUAACUCAAGAAGAAAAAAAGAUCAAUAGAUAAAGUAGCAUCGCUUGCUUUCUUAGUCCUCCCAAUAAAAACAGUUCAGUAAGGUUAGGCUUAUCGGGAAGAAGCACUACUCGGAUGAGUUUGUCGUGGGUGGGUAUAAAUGGGGAAUUACGUGGAGCACUUAUCGAUGUACUUGGAUGUUGCCGACUUGGCCGAUCUGCUCAAUUUUCAGGAUGAAACUCAUCCAAUGAUACUACAGUAUGUAGUAAAUAAAGAGAUUUCACGACUGAGAGGCUAAGGGAGCACAAGAAGCAGGUGCUAUCAGCUGAAAAAGGAGUUUGGGCGUGUUCGGCACCCGUGCGUGGUGGCGCUCUGAGCUGCUUCUCCUUGGCCUGGAAGAAGGCUCUUCUCCUCUUCCACGCCAGUUAGGCGUGAAGUUAGUGAAUCUGGAAGUGCUUUGAAUCUGGAAGUGAUUUAGCGGUUGAUGCUCUCUCCAUGGUUAAACAUGUUCUACUAGAAAAGAGUAAUUCAGGAUAAGCCAAAGGAAUCAUUCCCGGAGCAUGAUACUCAAAUGUCAAGCAUUAGAUGGCACCUUUCUGAAGGUUAGAACCAUUUCAAUACAAUGACUACUUAGUCAACUGGGGUACAAAUAUGAAUCAGUCCAUGCAAGAUCAAAUUGGCAAGUUACAGGUGAGUGAGACAGAACUUUUGCUAGCUUGCCAAAUGCACUUUCUGCUUAUUCGUGUGCAUUUCCUUUUAGAGCAUCAUGAGAAUCAUGUUCUGUUUUUCUUCAUUUCUUGAUUGCAAUUGAGUUGUCUGGUAUCCUCUCGUGGUCAGCGAGAAAUUGUCCAUCUCCUAAGCGCUGCCGGACCUUUUUUUGCUCCUGAUCCACCCAUGCUGGAAGAGUACUGAUAUUGAGAAACUAAAGUCUACAAUCCUACGAAGUUUGUUUGGGAAGUAUAGGGAAGCCUUUAAUCUAUGAGAUACUGGAGAAGCCAGCCAGUAGCAGCCUUAUAUGCUUUUCUAAGAUAGCUCUCAUUUAUUUUCUGGAUGCAUGUUCUCAGGUUAUGUCUCUCUCUGUUUUGGUCCUUCCUAUUCAAUUCUGUCAAAGGUAAAUUAAGCAACUCAUUCUGUUUUAGCUGUUGCAUCUUUGAUGAAAAGUAGAACCCCUUUUAGCUUGUCUAUAAUGUUUGCGUGUGUGCUCAAAUUUUCUACCAUUUGUGAGGUAUCCUGUAAUUUUCAUAUACAACUACAAAUUACAGACGAACUUUCUUUGUAUUCCCCAACUAAGUUCCCAGUUCAUUGCACUGUUGACAUACAUUGUUAAUAUUAGUUUAUACUUUUAAUAGCUACCCGCUUGUACUCAUUUAUAUUGUCUUGAAGAUGAACCUUCUAUUAUCCAGAAACUUACGCUGGCUGAUAAAGAACCAUUCAUGGUUCAGUUUGAAUUUGCAACACUUUCAAAGGAAAAUUGAUUAUAUGUACAUACUACAUAAUCUAGGAACCUUUUUAAUAUUCAACUGAUAGUUUAUUAAUUAUCUUUCAUCCCGAACAAAUGCAUUAUUUCUAUAUCAUCAAUAUGAAUCAACAACGGUAUAUAUAUCAUCAAUAUACUAAUUUUUUUAAUUUGUUGUGAACUAUGAUAUUUAAAGUCACAAAUAGGAGGACUUCAUUGGAGAAAAGAAAGUUUGGUGGGAAGGAGAAUAGAGGAGUGAGAUGUCAUGGGAGCACCAAUAUAAAGCCUGUAUUAAAGAGAUUCUCUUGAUAUCAACCAUACCCAACCAAUAAUUUAGUCAAUUGAGCAUUUCUAUUGGCUUCUAUAGAUGAACGAACAAUUUGAAGAAUGAUACUUUGAAAAGAACUAUUGUAUUCCGCACCGUUGUUUUGCUAUAGAUGUUAAAGCAUAGCUGUCAUGUCAAAA